GAUGAACGCUGGCGGCGUGCUUAACACAUGCAAGUCGAACGGGAAACCUUUUAAUGCAGCUUCGGCAGAUUUAGCUGGUUUCUAGUGGCGGACGGGUGAGUAACGCGUGGGUAACCUGCCUUAUACAGGGGGAUAACAGUCAGAAAUUACUGCUAAUACCGCAUAAGCGCACAGGACCGCAUGGUCCGGUGUGAAAAACUCCGGUGGUAUAAGAUGGACCCGCGUUGGAUUAGCUUGUUGGUGGGGUAACGGCUCACCAAGGCGACGAUCCAUAGCCGGCCUGAGAGGGUGAACGGCCACAUUGGGACUGAGACACGGCCCAGACUCCUACGGGAGGCAGCAGUGGGGAAUAUUGCACAAUGGGGGAAACCCUGAUGCAGCGACGCCGCGUGAAGGAAGAAGUAUCUCGGUAUGUAAACUUCUAUCAGCAGGGAAGAUAGUGACGGUACCUGACUAAGAAGCCCCGGCUAACUACGUG
rnacentral:rRNA from 1 species